rnacentral:rRNA from 1 species
GGGAACACCGGGCCAGCAGGGGGGGUAAGACGGAGGGGGCAAGCAAUGAUCGGAAUGACGGGGCGUAAAGGGCGCGUAGGCGGCGAAGAAAGUUAGAUGUGAAAUUCCGGGGCUCAACCCCGGAGCUGCAUUUAAAACUCCUUUGCUAGAGUACAGUUAGGGAAAACAGAAUUCCACGUGUAGCGGUGAAAUGCGUAGAUAUGUGGAAGAAUACCGGUGGUGAAGACGGUUUUCUGGGCUGUUACUGACGCUGAGGCGCGAAAGCAUGGGGAGCAAACAGGAUUAGAUACCCUGGUAGUC